AUUGAACGCUGGCGGCAGGCCUAACACAUGCAAGUCGUACGAGUGGCGGACGGGUGAGUAAUGUAUGGGAAACUGCCUGAUGAAGGGGGAUAACUACUGGAAACGGUAGCUAAUACCGCAUACCAUCAGAUGUGCCCAGAUGGGAUUAGCUUGUCGGUGGGGUAACGGCUCACCUAGGCGACGAUCCCUAGCUGGUCUGAGAGGAUGACCAGCCAAACGGGUACUGAGACACGGUCCAGACUCCUACGGGAGGCAGCAGUGGGGAAUAUUGCACAAUGGGCGCAAGCCUGAUGCAGCCAUGCCGCGUGUAUGAAGAAGGCCUUCGGGUUGUAAAGUACUUUCAGUGGGGAGGCGUUACCCACAGAAGAAGCACCGGCUAACUCCGUGCCAGCAGCCGCGGUAAUAC
rnacentral:rRNA from 1 species